CCUACGGGUGGCAGCAGUGGGGAAUAUUGCGCAAUGGGCGAAAGCCUGACGCAGCGACGCCGCGUGAGGGAUGAAGGUCUUCGGAUCGUAAACCUCUGUCAGCAGGGAAGAACGGUCACGGUGCUAAGCAGCAGUGAAUUGACGGUACCUGCAAAGGAAGCACCGGCGAACUCCGUGCCAGCAGCCGCGGUAAUACGGAGGGUGCGAGCGUUAAUCGGAAUUACUGGGCGUAAAGCGCGCGGAGGCGGUAUGUCAAGUCAAGGGUGAAAUCCCCGCGCUCAACGUGGGAACUGCCUUUGAAACUGGCACCCUGGCGUGUGUUAGAGGCUAGUUGCAUUCCAUGUGUAGGCG
rnacentral:rRNA from 1 species